AUUCAUCGAAAUGUAUUAAUCCUUUAUUGGCACUGUAUCGGUUGGUGUUGAUUGAAUUAAGAGUGCAGUUGUUACACAACAUUAACAUUGGGAGGUUGAGUCAAGUUACAGUAGGCAAUGCACCCCAAAUGUACUCUCUCCACUGACUAUCAUAUUGAUUUAAAAUCAGUAAUUAUCAACUGGUUUAGGGGACUGUUGUAGAGUCUUUCUCUGGAGUGAUGAAUCACGCUUCACAAUCUGGCAGUCCAACGGACUAAUCUGGAUUUGUUGGAUGCCAGGAGAAUGCUAACUGUAAAGAUUCUGUGCUUCCAACUUUGUGGCAACAGUUUGGGUUGGCCCUUUCCUGUUUCAGCAUGACAAUGCCCCUGUGCACAAAGCAAGGUCUGCACAUAAAUGGUUUGUCGAGAUCUGUGUGGAAGAACUUGACUGGCCUGCACAGAGCCCUGACCUCAUCAAAAACCUUUGGGAUAAAUUGGAACGCCGACUGCGAGCCAGGCCUAAUCGCCCAACAUCAGUGCCCGACCUCACUAACGGUCUUGUGGCUGAAUGGAAGCAAGUCCCUGCAGCAAUGUUCCAACAUCUAGUGGAAAGCCUUCCCAGAAGAGUGGCGGCUGUUAUAUGAGCAAAGGGGAGGACCAACUCCAUAUUAAUGCCCAUGAUUUUGGAAUGAGAUGUUCGACGAGCAGGUGUCCACAUAUGUUUGGUCUUGUUUGAAGGCACAGAUGCAUGCCUGUUAGUUAAUACUAUGUUCACAAAUGUUAUUGUCAGGUUUAUGUACGUCUCUGUUCCUCAGGUGUCAUGCGUGGGCCACAUGGUGUGUGCAGUGGUGGCUGACACCAGGAAGCAGGCUAAGAGAGGGGCGGCUGUAGUGAGAUCGGCAAUGAGGAUCUGCCAGGCCUAGUGUUAACUGUUGAGAAGGCUAUUGAGAAACAGUCCUUCUUUCUGCCCCAGUGUAUGACUUGAUCUAAUGAUAUAUUACAUAUUUAACCCAAAUGUAAUGGUACUCUGUGAAUCCAAACCAUCAUUGAUGUGUUUGUUUGAAUCCCAGCCUGUUCUGAUCUCUCUACCCAGGACUGGUCGGGCUGUGCGUUGUCGGGAGAGAGGAGAGGAAAUACUGAUCACUGGGGCCCGCCACCCUGUCCUGGGCAAACACAAGGAGGGCUUUAUGAACGAUGGGAGGAUAAUGGCUGCUGACCUACAAUAGUAUGCCAACUCUGGAAACACUGCAGAUGAGUCUUUGUUGGUAAUAGAGAAUAUUCUCCUUCACCUGGACAACGCGUACAACAUGCCCAACCUUCGCGGUCGCUCGGUGGCGUGUAAAACCAACCUGCCCCCCAACACGGCGUUCCGAGCCUUCAGCGUGCUCCAUAGCAUGCUGGUCACUGAGAACAUGAUCAAUGACACGGCAGGGAGUCUAGUGGUUAGAGCGUUGGACUAGUAACCGAAAGGUUGCAAGAUCGAAUCCCCCAGCUGACAAGGUAAAAAUCUGUCAUUCUGCCUCUGAACAAGGCAGUUAACCCACUGUUCCUAGGCCGUCAUUGAAAAUAAGAAUUUGUUCUUAACAGACUUGACUAGUUAAAUAAAGGUAAAAAAACAAACAUUACGUGGCCAUGAAGUUGGGCUGCAAUGCUGAAGAGGUCAGGGAGGAUAAUGGGGACAGGGAGGAAAGCCAUAUGAAUAGGAUCUAGUUAAUUAUAUUUCUAUGAUAAUAGAAUGGGUGGUACCAGUGCCUUAUAUUGAGAAAUCUAAUUGAUAUUAACAAAAGUCUCUCAAAGUGGGUAGUCUCAUGACAGACAUACUUAAAUAAGUCUAUUCAAAAACGGAUGACGUCGGAGAUUAUUAAGAUGGAUAAAUAGCUGAAUAUGCUAUAAAAUCAAUGUGCUAUAAAUACCUUAUAGAUUUCAUAAAGUACUGUAUACACUUUAUUACACACUUUAUAACACAGUUCUCCUUAAAUAUUUUCUCCUUCUUGAGCAGAUCCGUGAAAUAAACAUGUACAAGGAGGUGUCCCUGAACCUCCUGCGUUGCUAGGACGAAUGCAGGGAGAAGUCUGACGGAAAUCCAUCGCCCAGUUUAACCAGCAGAACCGCUGGAAGAAGAGAGGCAUGGCCACGAUACCCAUUAAGUAUGGCAUCGCAUUCUCAGACGGCUUCCUUAACCAGGUUAGCUUUGCCUUUGCACUGUCAAAUCAGUAAAAAUUCCCUGUCUUAGGUCAGUUAGGAUCACCACUUUAUUAAAAUAAUUUGAAAUGUCAAAAUAAUAGUAGAGAGAAUGAUUUAUUUCAGCUUUUAUUUCUUUCAUCACAUUCCCAGUGGGUCAGAAGUUUACAUACGCUCAAUUAGUAUUUGGUAGGCAUUCUUGCUCGCUCACACUUUUUCAGUUCUGCCCACAAAUUUUCUAUAGGAUUGAGGUCAGGGCUUUGUGAUGGCCACUCCAAUAUCUUGACUUGGUUGUCCUUAAGCCAUUUUGACACAACUUUAGAAGUAUGCUUGGGGUCAUUGUCCAUUUGGAAGACCCAUUUGUGACCAAGCUUUAACUUUCUGACUGAUGUCUUGAGAUGUUGCUUCAAUAUAUCGAUGUGAUGCCAUCUAUUUUGUGAAGUGCACCAGUCCCUCCUG
rnacentral:lncRNA from 13 species